AUUGAACGCUGGCGGCAGGCCUAACACAUGCAAGUCGAGCGGAGCGGCGGACGGGCGAGUAAUGCCUAGGAAUCUGACUGGUAGUGGGGGAUAACGUCCGGAAACGGGAGCUAAUAUCGCAUACUAUCAGAUGAGCCUAGGUCGUAUUAGCUCGUUGGUGGGGUAAAGGCCUACCAAGGCGACGAGCCGUAACUGGUCUGAGAGGAUGGUCAGUCAAACUGGAACUGUGACACGGUCCAGACGCCUACGGGAGGCAGCGGUGGGGAAUAUUGGACAAUGGGCGAAAGCCUGAUCCAGCCAUGCAGCGUGUGUGAAGAAGGUCUUCGGAUUGUAAGGCACUUUAAGUUGGGAGGCGUUACCAGCAGAAUAAGCACCGGCUAACUUCGUGCCAGCAGCCGCGGUAAUAC
rnacentral:rRNA from 1 species